rnacentral:rRNA from 1 species
AGACCCGAAACCCGGUGAUCUAGCCAUGGGCAGGUUGAAGGUUGGGUAACACUAACUGGAGGACCGAACCGACUAAUGUUGAAAAAUUAGCGGAUGACCUGUGGCUGGGGGUGAAAGGCCAAUCAAACCGGGAGAUAGCUGGUUCUCCCCGAAAGCUAUUUAGGUAGCGCCUCGUGAAUUCAUCUCCGGGGGUAGAGCACUGUUUCGGCUAGGGGGCCAUCCCGGCUUACCAACCCGAUGCAAACUGCGAAUACCGGAGAAUGUUAUCACGGGAGACACACGGCGGGUGCUAACGUCCGUCGUGAAGAGGGAAACAACCCAGACCGCCAGCUAAGGUCCCAAAGUCAUGGUUAAGUGGGAAACGAUGUGGGAAGGCCCAGACAGCCAGGAUGUUGGCUUAGAAGCAGCCAUCAUUUAAAGAAAGCGUAAUAGCUCACUGGUCGAGUCGGCCUGCGCGGAAGAUGUAACGGGGCUAAACCAUGCACCGAAGCUGCGGCAGCGAACGUAUCACCCAAGACAACUUUGCGGAGUUGACGAUUGACGGAGCGAAGCGACGUCAAAGCGUUCAUUAAAGUCGAGUUGGCUUAGGGAUACGUUCGUUGGGUAGGGGAGCGUUCUGUAAGCCAGUGAAGGUGUGUCGUGAGGCAUGCUGGAGGUAUCAGAAGUGCGAAUGCUGACAUAAGUAACGAUAAAGCGGGUGAAAAGCCCGCUCGCCGGAAGACCAAGGGUUCCUGUCCAACGUUAAUCGGGGCAGGGUGAGUCGACCCCUAAGGCGAGGCCGAAAGGCGUAGUCGAUGGGAAACGGGUUAAUAUUCCCGUACUUGGUGUUACUGCGAAGGGGGGACGGAGAAGGCUAUGUUGGCCGGGCGACGGUUGUCCCGGUUUAAGCGUGUAGGUGUGUGUUCCAGGUAAAUCCGGUUCACUUUAACACUGAGGCGUGAUGACGAGGCACUACGGUGCUGAAGCAACAAAUGCCCUGCUUCCAGGAAAAGCCUCUAAGCAUCAGGUAACAUCAAAUCGUACCCCAAACCGACACAGGUGGUCAGGUAGAGAAUACCAAGGCGCUUGAGAGAACUCGGGUGAAGGAACUAGGCAAAAUGGUGCCGUAACUUCGGGAGAAGGCACGCUGACACGUAGGUGAAGUGAUUUACUCAUGGAGCUGAAGUCAGUCGAAGAUACCAGCUGGCUGCAACUGUUUAUUAAAAACACAGCACUGUGCAAACACGAAAGUGGACGUAUACGGUGUGACGCCUGCCCGGUGCCGGAAGGUUAAUUGAUGGGGUCAGCGCAAGCGAAGCUCCUGAUCGAAGCCCCGGUAAACGGCGGCCGUAACUAUAACGGUCCUAAGGUAGCGAAAUUCCUUGUCGGGUAAGUUCCGACCUGCACGAAUGGCGUAAUGAUGGCCAGGCUGUCUCCACCCGAGACUCAGUGAAAUUGAACUCGCUGUGAAGAUGCAGUGUACCCGCGGCAAGACGGAAAGACCCCGUGAACCUUUACUAUAGCUUGACACUGAACAUUGAGCCUUGAUGUGUAGGAUAGGUGGGAGGCUUUGAAGCGUGGACGCCAGUCUGCGUGGAGCCGACCUUGAAAUACCACCCUUUAAUGUUUGAUGUUCUAACGUGGACCCGUGAUCCGGGUUGCGGACAGUGUCUGGUGGGUAGUUUGACUGGGGCGGUCUCCUCCUAAAGAGUAACGGAGGAGCACGAAGGUUGGCUAAUCCUGGUCGGACAUCAGGAGGUUAGUGCAAUGGCAUAAGCCAGCUUGACUGCGAGCGUGACGGCGCGAGCAGGUGCGAAAGCAGGUCAUAGUGAUCCGGUGGUUCUGAAUGGAAGGGCCAUCGCUCAACGGAUAAAAGGUACUCCGGGGAUAACAGGCUGAUACCGCCCAAGAGUUCAUAUCGACGGCGGUGUUUGGCACCUCGAUGUCGGCUCAUCACAUCCUGGGGCUGAAGUAGGUCCCAAGGGUAUGGCUGUUCGCCAUUUAAAGUGGUACGCGAGCUGGGUUUAGAACGUCGUGAGACAGUUCGGUCCCUAUCUGCCGUGGGCGCUGGAGAACUGAGGGGGGCUGCUCCUAGUACGAGAGGACCGGAGUGGACGCAUCACUGGUGUUCGGGUUGUCAUGCCAAUGGCACUGCCCGGUAGCUAAAUGCGGAAGAGAUAAGUGCUGAAAGCAUCUAAGCACGAAACUUGCCCCGAGAUGAGUUCUCCCUGAGACUUUAGGUCUCCUGAAGGAACGUUGAAGACGACGACGUUGAUAGGCCGGGUGUGUAAGCGCAGCGAUGCGUUGAGCUAACCGGUACUAAUGAACCGUGAGGCUUAACCUUACAACGCCGAAG